AAGGAAUAUUGCUCAAUGGGAGAAAUCCUGAAGCAGCAACGCCGCGUGGAGGAUGAAGGGUCUAUGACUUGUAAACUCCUGUAAAGAAGGAAAAAAUUCCCAUUUGAUGGGAGAUGAUGGUACUUCUGAAGUAAGCCCCGGCUAACUACGUGCCAGCAGCCGCGGUAAUACGUAGGGGGCAAGCGUUGUCCGGAUUUACUGGGUGUAAAGGGUGCUCAGGCGGAUUUGUAAGUCAGAGGUGAAAUCUUACAGCUUAACUGUGAAACUGCCUUUGAUACUGCAAGCCUAGAGUAUGGAAGAGAGUGAUGGAAUAUCUGGUGUAGCAGUGAAAUGCGUAGAUAUCAGAUAGAACACCAAUGGCGAAGGCAGUCACUUGGUCCAUUACUGACGCUAAAGCACGAAAGCGUGGGUAGCAAACA
rnacentral:rRNA from 1 species